GACAGGAAGGUUUACUGUUCCGCCAAAGACAUUUUCAAGAGCGGUGCAACUUAAGAGACGCAUUGGGCGUGCUCUUUCUUGUGCAUUUGUCCGGACACCUCUAUCACUUGUUCGGACAGAUCUUCAGCGUUCCUCGAUCAAGACAUCCAGUAAGACCCUUCUGGCGUUUCACGCAUGCACCUCAAUUGUUCGGAUGGCUAUAACUCCCAUUUGGACGACAACUCUUAAAACACCAUACUAGCAACAGAACUCGCCUCCACAUACAAUCUGAAUCGACUCUAAUUUAAUGACCCUAACAUGGCUUUGGGGCCUAGUUCGUGGAUAUUUUUCUGAUGUGGGCUUUGGGACUCGCAUGAUGGACCAUAUUCCUGCGUACAAAUACGGGCCUUGGGCUUCUUAUUCAAAAUAAGUAACUGAGCUUGGUUAUACCUUAUAAAAUAAAAAAAUGAGACAAGGAUCAUUUAAUGGGUUUAAUUUGUGAGUUUUUGGAAUUUUGUAUUUCAUUUUAUUUGAGAUCUUCAAUAGAAGGUGCAUUUAGGUCUCUAUCCGGUCAGGUGUAUUGUCCUCUAUUAUCUGUCAUGCUGUUGGCAUUUCCCAUAAUGGUAUUUCAUUUCAAGGCUUCAUCUCUGUAAUUAUCGUCAUCACAGGAAGCAACCUUGUCCUUUCCUUUUGUUUUUAUCCUCUCAUAUGUGUAUCAUUCUUUUUCGUCCUCUUGAUUUUUGGGUCCUGGGUUGAUUAGAAAUCUUUCUUGAGUCAAUAAUGUAAGAAGAAAUAUGUGCGGUGCUAGGAUAGAGCCUGAACGAAGCUCAUGUAAUGCCAGUGGAUGGCCGCCUUGAUUGUAACAUAUGCUUAGAAACGGCACACGGCCCUGUUGUCACACUCUCUGGCCAUUUGCACUGCUGGCCUCGCAUUUACAAGUGGCUCCAUAUCCAAAGUUCCUCUUCUGAUGCCAACCAUGGGAAACAGGACUGUCCGAUCUGCACGUCUUCUGAGCGAUAUUAGAGAUGAUGUUGGGAGAGCUGGUUUCUGAAAGGGUCUUUGGGAUGUCAGAUAUGAGGCUAGUAUCCUAUCUGAAUUCUUACACAAAACCUAGGAAGACAAGGCCAGGAAAUGCAGCUUUACACGUCUCUCAACAGAGUAUCAAUCUUCUUCUUCUUGUUUCCUCUUGUUUUGACCAUAUUAUGUCCUAUAGGUUUACAAUUUUAUAGUUGAACAACCAUAAUUUUUCACAAAUUUUUUGUGGAUGAUCAUUGUUGGGGAUCUCUCUGGUAUUUCAGGAUGUAAAUAAUUUUUUUUGGCAAGGAUUCUUAUUAGUAUA